CCUACGGGGGGCAGCAGUGAGGAAUAUUGGUCAAUGGGCGCGAGCCUGAACCAGCCAAGUAGCGUGAAGGAUGACUGCCCUACGGGUUGUAAACUUCUUUUAUAAAGGAAUAAAGUGAGGCACGCGUGCCUGUUUGUAUGUACUUUAUGAAUAAGGAUCGGCUAACUCCGUGCCAGCAGCCGCGGUAAUACGGAGGAUUCGAGCGUUAUCCGGAUUUAUUGGGUUUAAAGGGAGCGUAGAUGGGUUGUUAAGUCAGUUGUGAAAGUUUGGGGCUCAACCGUAAAAUUGCAUUUGAUACUGGCAGUCUUGAGUGCAGUUGAGGUAGGCGGAAUGCGUGGUGUAGCGGUGAAAUGCUUAGAGAUCACGAAGAACUCCGAUUGCGAAGGCAGCUUACUAAACUGCCACUGACAUUGAGGCACGAAAGUGUGGGUAUCAAACAGGAUUAGAUACCCCGGUAGUC
rnacentral:rRNA from 1 species